rnacentral:rRNA from 1 species
GCCUAUGGCCAUGCUACCCUGAACAAGCCUGAUCCCGUCUGAUCUGGGAAGUUAAGCAGGGUCAGGCCUGGUUAGUACUUGGAUGGGAGACCACCUAGGAAGACCAGGUGCUGUAGGCA